GUGGAAUUUAAACACAUGUCUUAGCGUGAGGAUAAUAAUGUAUCAUAAUAAAUUGGCAUUUAAUUAAUGUCUAGCAGGAAUGGUUUAAUGAUUUUAACAUUGUCUCAUAUAUAUUAUAUAUAAAAAUUUAAAUAAUAGUUAAGAUGCUAUUUAAAAUCUAUAAGACGAGAAGACCCCAAAACCUUUACUAUUAUAUUAACUAAUUUUUCUAAAUUAUUUUUUUUAGGUAGUUUAACUGGGACAGUUAACUUUUAAAAAAAAAACAAAGAUAAUUUAAUUAAAAUAAAUCAUUUUUUUUAUGAAUAACUGUUUAUAAUAAAACAUUAACAAUAAUAAAUAUUGAAAAUUCGAAUAUCUGAGUGAUUUUUUUUUGAUAAGGUACUUUGGGGAUAACAGCGUUAUCUAAAAAAAAAGAUGAUAUUAAUUUUUAGGCUUGCGACCUCGAUGUUGAAUUGGGAUAUCCUUAAAAUAGUAAA
rnacentral:rRNA from 1 species